UGGGUGCAGCUUAGUGGUAGAGUUUGUGCCUAGCAUGCACAAAGCCCUGGGUUUGAUUCCCAGCACCACAA
rnacentral:tRNA from 1 species